GACGAACGCUGGCGGCGUGCCUAACACAUGCAAGUCGAACGAAGCAUAGCAAUAUGGCUUAGUGGCGGACGGGUGAGUAACGCGUGAACAAUCUGCCCUGUACAAAGGAAUAGCCUCGGGAAACCGGGAUUAAAACCGUAUGACACUUUAGUAUCGCAUGAUAAGAAAGUCAAAUCGAAUAGAGGUAUGGGAUGAGUUCGCGUCUGAUUAGCUGGUUGGCGGGGUAACGGCCCACCAAGGCGACGAUCAGUAGCCGGCCUGAGAGGGUGAACGGCCACACUGGAACUGAGACACGGUCCAGACUCCUACGGGAGGCAGCAGUGGGGAAUAUUGCACAAUGGAGGGAACUCUGAUGCAGCGACGCCGCGUGAGUGAAGAAGGUCUUCGGAUCGUAAAACUCUGUCCUUGGUGAAGAAAAGGACGGUAGCCAAGGAGGAAGCCCCGGCUAACUACGUGCCAGCAGCCGCGGUAAGCUAGUCUACG
rnacentral:rRNA from 1 species